rnacentral:rRNA from 1 species
ACUCCUACGGGAGGCAGCAGUGGGGAAUAUUGGACAAUGGGCGAAAGCCUGAUCCAGCCAUGCCGCGUGUGUGAAGAAGGUCUUCGGAUUGUAAAGCACUUUAAAGUUGGGAGGAAGGGCAGUUACCUAAUACGUGAUUGUUUUGACGUUACCGACAGAAUAAGCACCGGCUAACUCUGUGCCAGCAGCCGCGGUAAUACAGAGGGUGCAAGCGUUAAUCGGGAAUUACUGGGGCGUAAAGCGCGCGUAGGUGGUUAGUUAAGUUUGGAUGUGAAAUCCCCGGGGCUCAACCUGGGAACUGCAUUCAAAACUGACUGACUAGAGUAUGGUAGAGGGUGGUGGAAUUUCCUGUGUAGCGGUGAAAUGCGUAGAUAUAGGAAGGAACACCAGUGGCGAAGGCGACCACCUGGACUGAUACUGACACUGAGGUGCGAAAGCGUGGGGAGCAAACAGGAUUAGAUA